GAUGAACGCUGGCGGCGUGCCUAAUACAUGCAAGUCGAACGAGUGGCGGACGGGUGAGUAAUGUCUGGGAAACUGCCUGAUGGCGGGGGAUAACUCCUGGAAACGGUCUCUAAUACCGCAUACCAUCGUCUGUGCCCCGAUGGUAUUCGUUAGUAUGUGGGGUAACGGCUCCACUAGGCGACGAUCCCUAGCUGGUCUGAGAGGAUGACAACCCACACUGGAACUGAGACACGGUCAAGAAGCAUACGGGAGGCAGCAGUGGGAAAUAUUGCACAAGGGGCGCAAGCCGUAUGCAGCCAUGCCGGGUGUAUGAAGAAGGCCGUCGGGUUGUAAAGUACUUUCAGCGAGGAGGCGUUACCCGCAGAAGAAGCACCGGCUAACUCCGUGCCAGCAGCCGCGGUAAUAC
rnacentral:rRNA from 1 species